rnacentral:rRNA from 1 species
GACGGAGGGGGCUAGCGUUGUUCGGAAUUACUGGGCGUAAAGGGCGCGUAGGCGGUUUAGUAAGUUGGAAGUGAAAGCCCGGGGCUUAACCUCGGAACUGCUUUCAAAACUGCUAGGCUAGAGUACGGUAGAGGGUGAUGGAAUUCCUAGUGUAGAGGUGAAAUUCUUAGAUAUUAGGAGGAACACCGGUGGCGAAGGCGGUCACCUGGGCCGGUACUGACGCUGAGGCGCGAAAGCGUGGGGAGCAAACAGG